rnacentral:rRNA from 1 species
UACGGAGGGUGCGAGCGUUGUUCGGAAUCACUGGGCGUAAAGCGCGUGUAGGCGGCCCACUAAGUCUGAUGUGAAAGCCCGGGGCUCACCCCCGGAAGUGCAUUGGAAACUGGUGGACUAGAGUCCCGGAGAGGAGAGUUGAAUUCCUGGUGUAGCGGUGAAAUGCGUAGAUAUCAGGAGGAACACCGGUGGCGAAGGCGGGUCUCUGGGCAGUAACUGACGCUGAGGAGCGAAAGCGUGGGGAGCGAACAGG